UCCGGUUUGGCACCGGCAGUCUCCCUAGAAUGCCCUUGAUGGGUCCGGAGACGGAUCGUUCCGCAAGGACAAGGAGCAAGGUGCUGCAUGGCUGUCGUCAGCUCGUGCCGUGAGGUGUUGGGUUAAGUCCCGCAACGAGCGCAACCCUUAUUUUUAGUUGCCAGCACGUCAAGGUGGGGACUCUAAAAAGACUGCCCGCGCAAGCGGAGAGGAAGGUGGGGAUGACGUGUCUGUACCAUAGA
rnacentral:misc_RNA from 1 species